rnacentral:rRNA from 1 species
CAGUCGUACCGGCGGAUAAUCAGCCUUUCGGGUGCGAUUCUGUGAGGCGUGAGGAGCUUAACCGCCUUCAUGUUUUGCAUAUUCGUGCACAUUUGGUGUACUUGUCCGUGUGGUGGGUUAACAUCAAUUUCGGUCGUCAUAAAAAGACAUUUGGAAUGUGGCUGUCUUCGGGCAGUGUUAUAGCCUUGUGUUGUAUGUCUUGGUUGGGACUGAGGAACGCAGCGCGCCAUUUGGCCGGGGUCGCUCCUCUCGACACGCGCUUAGGAUGCUGGCAUAAUGCUUUAAGCGACCGUCUUAGAAACACGGACCAAGGAGU